rnacentral:rRNA from 1 species
CACGUAGGGUGCGAGCGUUGUCCGGAAUUAUUGGGCGUAAAGAGCUCGUAGGCGGUGUGUCGCGUCGGCCGUGAAAACCUGCAGCUUAACUGUGGGCUUGCGGUCGAUACGGGCAUCACUGGAGUUCGGCAGGGGAGACUGGAAUUCCUGGUGUAGCGGUGAAAUGCGUAGAGAUCAGGAGGAACACCCAUGGCGAAGGCAGCGCUCUGGUCGGCAUCUGACGCUGAGAGGCGAAAGCGUGGGGAGCGAACGGG